rnacentral:lncRNA from 1 species
AAAAACUUUCAGAUAACUUAAGUUAAAUAAAUUUUAAAAUUAGACACCAAAAUUUAAAGAAAAACUUCAAAUACUACUUUUGUGGUUUCACACUUUCUCAUUUUAGUACUAUGUGGUUUCAACUAUAUCAAUUAAGUGCCUUGUGAUUUUAUUUUUAUCUUUUAAUUAUUAAUUCUACUAAAUUUUUUUGUUAAAUCAGUGACAAAGUUAAAACUAAAGGGUACUAAAAUAAAUAUUCGAUAAACUUAGGUACGGUAUCUGAAGUUUUUUUGUAUAUAAUUUAACGAAAUAUUAAUAGAGGGGCCAAAAAAAAAAAAGAAACCACAGGGUACUAAAUUGAUACAUUUUAAACUAUAGGGUACUAAAGUGAGAAAGUGCGAAAUCACAUGGUACUAAAUUGAUAUACUUUAAACCACAGGGUACUAAAGUAAAAAAGUGCGAAAUUAUAAAGAUGGUAUUUGAAUUUUUUCCUAAAUUUUAAAAUUAGACACCAAAAAUUAAAAUUCUAAAAAACUGAAAUAGCUAAAAUAUAUUAAAAUUUAGAAAAGUAGGUUUGUUAAUAUUUUAAUUUUAUAGGAAUAUAUUUGUAAUUAUUUCAUGACUAAACCAGUCCUCCACAUGUGACGACAUCAGUCAACACACGCACUGUUGCUGUCAGCCGACAACGUAAAUUAAAUGAUGGGAAGGGUUAAUUGCAUCAUUACCCCCAACCUUAACCCUUUAUUUUAUUUGGUCCUUAACUCUUUUUUGUGUACUAUACUGUUUGUAAUCUUACAUCUUAGCCCAUCUAAAGGCUAUAAUUAACAUUCCGUCUUUUUUUUUAAUUAAAUUAACUCCUUACCUUUUUUCUGAUUUUUUUUUCUAUUAUGUUUCUGACCUUAAUUUUUUACUCAAUCAUGUCAAAGUCAUCUAAAUUUAUAUUAAUUUUGAUAAUAAAUCACGUUAGCUUUAAUAAAAUUUUUUAAUUUAUAUAGAUCACGGUUGUAAUUUGAUGGCCACCGAUAGUAUUCUGACUGUACGUCAAGAAUGUCAAAUGCUUCAAAAGAGACAGUACAUUUUAUUUAUAAGAUCAUGAUAAUUAUAGGUGUUGAUAAAAUUUUGCAUGCAUAUAAAAAAAAGGUAAAUAAAGAUUAAAAUGUGAAAAGUGAAAAAUGUUAGGAACUAUAAUAGUUCAAUUUAUUUUAAAAGUUUUAAUUAA